rnacentral:rRNA from 1 species
UACGGGGGAGCAAGCGUUGUUCGGAUUUACUGGGCGUAAAGCGCACGUAGGCGGAUUGUUAAGUGAGGGGUGAAAUCCCAGGCUCAACCCUGGAACUGCCUUUCAUACUGGCAAUCUUGAGUCCGGAAGAGGUGAGUGGAACUCCUAGUGUAGAGGUGGAAUUCGUAGAUAUUAGGAAGAACACCAGUGGCGAAGGCGGCUCACUGGUCCGGUACUGACGCUGAGGUGCGAAAGCGUGGGAGCAAACAGG